AAACUUAACAAGGAUUCCCCUAGUAACGGCGAGUGAAGCGGGAAGAGCUCAAAUUUGAAAUCUGGUGGCCUCAGGUCAUCCGAGUUGUAAUCUAUAGAAGUGUUUUCCGUGCUGGCUCAUGUACAAGUCCCUUGGAACAGGGCGUCAUAGAGGGUGAGAAUCCCGUCCUUGACAUGAACUACCAGUGCUCUGUGAUACAUUUUCAACGAGUCGAGUUGUUUGGGAAUGCAGCUCAAAAUGGGUGGUAAAUUCCAUCUAAAGCUAAAUAUUGGCGAGAGACCGAUAGCGAACAAGUACCGGUGAGGGAAAGAUGAAAAGCACUUUGGAAAGAGAGUUAAACAGUAUGUGAAAUUGUUGAAAGGGAAACGAUUGAAGUCAGUCGUGCUCUUUGGAUUCAGCCGGUUCUGCCGGUGUACUUCCUUUGAGUGGGGUCAACAUCAGUUUUGAUCGCUGGAUAAAGGCUGGAGGAACGUAGUACCCUCGGGUAAACUUAUAGCCUCCUGUCACAUACAGUGGUUGGGACUGAGGAACGCAGCACGCCUUUAUGGCCGGGAUUCGUCCACGUACGUGCUUAGGAUGUUGACAUAAUGGCUUUAAACGAC
rnacentral:rRNA from 1 species